rnacentral:rRNA from 1 species
CGGAGGUCCUGCCUGCCCAGUGACAUUCAGUUAAACGGCCGCGGUAUUUUGACCGUGCUAAGGUAGCGCAAUCACUUGUCUUUUAAAUGAGGACCUGUAUGAAUGGCGGAACGAGGGCUUAACUGUCUCCUUUUUCUGGUCAAUGAAAUUGAUCUGCCCGUGCAGAAGCGGGCAUAACUAUACAAGACGAGAAGACCCUUUGGAGCUUAAGAUAAAAGGCCAACUAUGUCAAAGGCCCUAAUAAAACUCAAACCAAACAAACAGCUAACUGGCCACUAUCUUCGGUUGGGGCGACCACGGGGGAAAACAGAGCCCCCACGCAGAACAGGGACUACUCCCUAAACCAAGAGGGACACCUCUAAGUCACAGAACAUCUGACCUAAAGAUCCGGCCGACCAGGCCGAUCAACGGACCAAGUUACCCUAGGGAUAACAGCGCAAUCCCCUCCAAGAGUUCAUAUCGACAAGGGGGUUUACGACCUCGAUGUUGGAUCAGGACAUCCUAAUGGUGCAGCCGCUAUUAAGGG